AUGAUUGCUCUUAUCGGUAUGGCUCCUACCGAGGAGGAGGGAGAAGAGAAGAAGAAGAGGGAAAGGAAGGCAGCCGGAGCUGCUUUCACGUGGAUUCAAAAUAACUUUGCGACGUGCCCUCCGGAUGCAACUGAUGAUGUGAUCCAGACACAUGCUCGUGUGUAUAUGUGGUACAUUGUGUCGAGGACUUUGUUUCCUGACUCCACUGGAAAGAACGCUCCAUGGAUGUGGCUGAAGGCGUUGACCGUCUUCGAUAGCAAUUGGAGCUGGGGUUCAGUGACUCUUGCCUACUUGUACCGACAGGUAGUUGGUCUGUUUUGUGAUCAACUCAUUUAUUCAUUAGCAAUGCAAGCUUGCUGUCAAGUUAACAUUGUUUUUCUUUCAUAUGUAGCUGGAUGA
rnacentral:rRNA from 1 species